rnacentral:rRNA from 1 species
GGUCCAGACUCCUACGGGAGGCAGCAGUGAGGAAUAUUGGUCAAUGGUCGGGAGACUGAACCAGCCAAGCCGCGUGAGGGAGGAAGGUACAGAGUAUCGUAAACCUCUUUUGUCAGGGAACAAAGGCGGGGACGUGUCCCCGGAUGAGUGUACCUGAAGAAAAAGCAUCGGCUAACUCCGUGCCAGCAGCCGCGGUAAUACGGAGGAUGCGAGCGUUAUCCGGAUUUAUUGGGUUUAAAGGGUGCGUAGGCGGACAGUCAAGUCAGCGGUAAAAAUGCGGUGCUCAACGCCGUACAGCCGUUGAAACUGGGUGCCUUGAGUGGGCGAGAAGUACGCGGAAUGCGUGGUGUAGCGGUGAAAUGCAUAGAUAUCACGCAGAACUCCGAUUGCGAAGGCAGCGUACCGGCGCCGGACUGACGCUGAGGCACGAAAGCGUGGGUAUCGAACAGGAUUAGAUACCCCAGUA